UGCCUAGUGCACCAAAGAUGCUUCAUGUGUUUGGCCCAGAUCCCAGAGGGAAUGAUUCUGAGGAUGAAGCUGUCUUACCAACAAGAAAACAAGUGCACCAUACUGGAGCUGGACCAGAGAGGCCAAGCGUCCCGUAGCCUGCACCAGGGAAGGAUUUCAUCGACUGACCUGCACCAGAGAAAGACUGUUUCCUCUGAGCCACAUCAGUUGAUAAGAAGACCACAAACCAGUCUUCAUAUAUCACACCUAGGCCUACCACAUCCAAGGCUUGAAAUCUGUAACUGAAGAAGAGAUAGGUGUUGAACCAAAUCUGCUACCAUUAGCUGAUCGCCAGUCUGUCCAAAACAUGGAGGAGCGGCUCAGAAAUGGUGCUGACCUCAAAAACC